rnacentral:rRNA from 1 species
UACGGAGGGUGCAAGCGUUGCUCGGAAUUAUUGGGCGUAAAGAGCGUGUAGGCGGUCAGGUAGGUCCGUUGUGAAAACUCGAGGCUCAACCUCGAGACGCCGAUGGAAACCAUCUGACUAGAGUCCGGAAGAGGAGAGUGGAAUUCCUGGUGUAGCGGUGAAAUGCGCAGAUAUCAGGAAGAACACCCGUGGCUAAGGCGGCUCUCUAGUACGGUACUGACGCUGAGACGCGAAAGCGUGGGGGAGCGAACAGG